UACGAAGGGGGCUAGCGUUGCUCGGAAUCACUGGGCGUAAAGCGCACGUAGGCGGCUUUCUAAGUCAGGGGUGAAAUCCUGGAGCUCAACUCCAGAACUGCCUUUGAUACUGGGAAGCUCGAGUCCGGAAGAGGUGAGUGGAACUCCGAGUGUAGAGGUGAAAUUCGUAGAUAUUCGGAAGAACACCAGUGGCGAAGGCGGCUCACUGGUCCGGUACUGACGCUGAUGUGCGAAAGCGUGGGGAGCAAACAGG
rnacentral:rRNA from 1 species